rnacentral:lncRNA from 1 species
GGUCAUAGUGGUAUAUUGGUUACUUGCCUGUGUGGUCAUAGUGGUAUAUUGGUUACUUGCUGGUGUGGUCAUAGUGGUAUAUUGGUUACUUGCCGGUGAAGUCAUAGUGGUAUAUUGGUUACUUGCCAGUGUGGUCAUAGUGGUAUAUUGGUUACUUGCCGGUGGGGUCAUAGUGGUAUAUUGGUUACUUGCCGGUUUGGUCAUAGUGUUAUAUUGGUUACUUGCUGGUGUGGUCAUAGUGGUAUAUUGGUUACUUGCUGGUGUGGUCAUAGUGGUAUAUUGGUUACUUGCCUGUGUGGUUCAUAGUGGUAUAUUGGUU